UAAAUUUCAGUGUUUGGCACAGUGUCCUUUGAAGGCAUUAGAGAUAGGUGUUUAUCAAGUUUAA
rnacentral:tRNA from 1 species